rnacentral:rRNA from 1 species
AGUGAACGCUGGCGGUAGGCCUAACACAUGCAAGUCGAACGGCAGCACAGUAAGAGCUUGCUCUUACGGGUGGCGAGUGGCGGACGGGUGAGGAAUACAUCGGAAUCUACUUUUUCGUGGGGGAUAACGUAGUGAAACUUACGCUAAUACCGCAUACGACCUACGGGUUAAAGCAGGGGAUCUUCCGACCUUGCGCGAUUGAAUGAGCCGAUGUCGGAUUAGCUAGUUGGCGGGGUAAAGGCCCACCAAGGCGACGAUCCGUAGCUGGUCUGAGAGGAUGAUCAGCCACACUGGAACUGAGACACGGUCCAGACUCCUACGGGAGGCAGCAGUGGGGAAUAUUGGACAAAGGGCGCAAGCCUGAUCCAGCCAUACCGCGUGGGUGAAGAAGGCCUUCGGGUUGUAAAGCCCUUUUGUUGGGAAAGAAAAGCAGCAGGUUAAUACCCCGCUGUUCUGACGGUACCCAAAGAAUAAGCACCGGCUAACUUCGUG